CAAUGAGAUUAUUUCUGUCUGCAGAGCAGAAAUGUUUGAGGAAGUAAAAUCCCAAUCAGCUUGAUGCUGAGGAGAAGGGCUGUGCAGCAGAGAGGCUGUUUAGUUUCUUCAUUCUACUGCAGUGGAAGAACAUUGAUCAUCUGCUGUCUGUUUGGUUUCAACAACUCCAAAGACAUGUUGCUUUACCUCUUUAUACUUUUAUCUCACUUUAUAGCCAUGGGUUCCAUGAACAGCAUAAAGCCAGAAAAUACUGAAGAAUGUGUUGCAGAGGGAGGAAACAUCAACCUGACCUGUAAAUAUGAGGGUUCUAUCAGCAAUAUCCAGUGGUACCGACAAUACCAGAGAUCCAGACCAGAGUUCCUGCUCUACAUCACAGAGGACGGAUCGAUUUAUCCAACUGUUUCUGAUUUCUCAGUUCACAUUAACAAAACAGAGAAACGUGUUGAUCUGCAGAUCUCCUCUGCUGCAGUGACAGACUCUGCUGUGUACUACUGUGCUGUGAGGCCCACAGUGACAGGAAACCCACAGUCUCUAUACAAAAACCUGACAGCUCCUCACUGAACAUUUACACACUUCAACUACUCUUUGUGUUGAA